ACUCCUACGGGAGGCAGCAGUGGGGAAUAUUGCACAAUGGGCGCAAGCCUGAUGCAGCCAUGCCGCGUGUGUGAAGAAGGCCUUCGGUUGUAAAGCACUUUCAGUCGUGAGGAAGGUAGUGUAGUUAAUAGCUGCAUUAUUUUAGACGUUAGCGACAGAAGAAGCACCGGCUAACUCCGUGCCAGCAGCCGCGGUAAUACGGAGGGGUGCGAGCGUUAAUCGGAAUUACUGGGCGUAAAGCGCAUGCAGGUGGUUUGUUAAGUCAGAUGUGAAAGCCCGGGGCUCAACCUCGGAAUAGCAUUUGAAACUGGCAGACUAGAGUACUGUAGAGGGGGUAGAAUUUCAGGUGUAGCGGUGAAAUGCGUAGAGAUCUGAA
rnacentral:rRNA from 1 species